rnacentral:rRNA from 1 species
AACCCCUGGGCGGAGUGAAAGCGAAAGUGCGUUUGACGCACCGAGGUGAGAGCGGGUGCGAGCUCGCCUGCGCAUCAUCGACCGAUCCGCACCACUUGUGGUGGGAUUUGAGUGAGAGUGUGCCUGUUGCGACCCGAAAGAUGGUGAACUAUGCCCGAACAGGGUGAAGCCAGGGGAAACCCUGGUGGAAGCCCGAAGCGAUUCUGACGUGCAAAUCGAUCGUCUGAUUUGGGUAUAGGGGCGAAAGACUAAUCGAACCAUCUAGUAGCUGGUUCCCUCCGAAGUUUCCCUCAGGAUAGCUGGAACCCGUGUGUGCAGUUUUAUCAGGUAAAGCGAAUGAUUAGAGGUCUUGGGGUUGAAACAACCUCAACCUAUUCUCAAACUUUAAAUAGGUAAGACGUCCGACUUGCUUGAGUGAAGCCGGACCUCGAAUGCAGGGUUCCUAGUGGGCCAUUUUUGGUAAGCAGAACUGGCGAUGCGGGAUGAACCGAAAGCGGGGUUAAGGUGCCAAAGUCGACGCUCAUCAGACCCCACAAA